UACGAAGGUGGCAAGCGUUGUUCGGAUUUACUGGGCGUACAGGGAGCGUAGGCGGUUGGAUAAGCCCUCCGUGAAAUCUCCAGGCUUAACCUGGAAAGUGCAGAGGGGACUGUUCAGCUAGAGGAUGGGAGAGGAGCGCGGAAUUCCCGGUGUAGCGGUGAAAUGCAUAGAUAUCAGGAGGAACACCAGUGGCGAAGGCGGCUUCCUGGACAGCAACUGACGCUGAGACGCGAAAGCGUGGGGAGCAAACAGG
rnacentral:rRNA from 1 species